rnacentral:rRNA from 1 species
UGGCAGACGAGUGAGUAACACGUAAGAAACCUGCCCUCGAGAGGGGUACAACAUGCCGAAAGGCAUGCUAAUACCCCGUACGAUUCAUAGGAGGCAUCUCCUGUGACUGAAAGGCCCGCAAGGGCUGCUCGAGGUGGGUCUUGCGGCCUAUCAGCUUGUUGGCGGGGUAACGGCCCACCAAGGCUAUGACGGGUACCCGGCCUGAAAGGGCGAACGGGCACGGAGGCACUGAGACACGGGCCUCACUCCUACGGGAGGCAGCAGUGGGGAAUUUUGGACAAUGGGGGAAACCCUGAUCCAGCAACGCUGCGUGAAGGACGAAGGCCUUCGGGUUGUAAACUUCUUUUCCAGGGGACGAAAUCCCGCAAGGGUGUGACGGUACUCUGGGAAUAAGCCACGGCUAAAUAUGUGCCAGCAGCCGCGGUAAGACAUAUGUGGCGAGCGUUACUCGGAAUUACUAGGCGUAAAGCGCGUGUAGGCGGGUGCCUAAGUCCGCUGUGAAAUCUCUCGGCUCAACUGGGAGGGGUCAGCGGAUACUGGGCGUCUAGAGUAGGGUAGGGGAGACCGGAAUUCCAGGUGUAGCGGUGAAAUGCGCAGAUAUCUGGAGGAACACCGAUGGCGAAGGCGGGUCUCUGGGCCCUCACUGACGCUAGACGCGAAAGCUAGGGGAGCAAACAGGAUUAGAUACCCUGGUAGUCCUAGCUGUAAACGAUGAGAACUAGGUGUGGGAGGUAUCGACCCCCCCCGCGCCGUCGCUACGCAUUAAGUUCUCCGCCUGGGGAGUACGGCCGCAAGGUUAAAACUCAAGGAAUUGACGGGGGCCCGCACAAGCGGUGGAGCAUGUGGUUUAAUUCG